CGGGGGGCUGCAGCAGUGAGGAAUAUUGCACAAUGGGGGGAACCCUGAUGCAGCAACGCCGCGUGGAGGAUGACGCAUUUCGGUGUGUAAACUCCUUUUAUAUGUCAAGAAAAUGACGGUAGCAUAUGAAUAAGCACCGGCUAACUCCGUGCCAGCAGCCGCGGUAAUACGGAGGGUGCAAGCGUUACUCGGAAUCACUGGGCGUAAAGGACGCGUAGGCGGGUUGGAAAGUCAGGCGUGAAAUCCUACAGCUUAACUGUAGAUCUGCACUUGAAACUUCUAAUCUAGAGUAUGGGAGGGGGAGAUGGAAUUAGUGGUGUAGGGGUAAUAUCCGUAGAUAUCACUAGGAAUACCUAAAGCGAAGGCGAUCUCCUGGAACAUUACUGACGCUAAGGCGUGAAAGCGUGGGGAGCAAACAGGAUUAGAUACCCGAGUAGUC
rnacentral:rRNA from 1 species